ACCCCACCGUUUGUUCCAGAGAGAUUUCAGAAAAUAAGAAAAGCAAGACAAGGGAAAGUAAGAAAAUGUCAGGGAUGAAAAAGCGGUACGAGGUGCUGGAAAAGGCAGUUGAGGAAGUGAGAGCAGGAGCAAGCUUGAGGCAGACGUCCAAAAAGUAUGGCAUACCACCCUGCAGGACUACAAAAAGAAAAAAUAGACACACAACCCUCAUCCUAAUUUGGCCCUGACACCUGCAGAAGAAGCACUGAUUUCAUUUAUAUUUUGGAUGGCGGAUCACAGCUUCCCAGUCACCAGAUCUCUGGUUAAAGUACUGGCUAGUGGCAUUAUUAAAGAGUGACAGAGCUGACAGCACAACUGUUAAUCUGGAGGAGGGGCCGAGUGAUGUCUGGUGGUCCAGAUUUAAGGCCCGCCAUCCAGAACUAACCUCCCGGACAGCAGAUUCCCUGGACAGAGCCAGAGUUCACGGUGCAACUCCAGAAGCCAUUGGAGGCUUCUUUGAUCUCUACGAAGCCUUAUUCAUCCGUCACAGUUUGUAGGACAAGCCCCAUCUAGUCUUCAACUGUGACGAAACUGGCUUUGGAGACGAGCCUAGGUCCAGGGAGAAGGUGCUCUGCCAGACUGGGAGGAAGCAUGUCUACCAGCAGCAGCAGACCACCAGGGAGCACAUUACAGUGCACUGCUGCGUGAGUGUAGCCGGGGAAAGCAUUCCACCCUUCAUCAUCUACCCUGGCUGCCUCCCAAGUAAUGCCUAUAGGCUGGAUGGGCCUCCCAACACCUUCUAUGGGAUCCAGGAGAAGGGGUACAUGGACUCCGAGCUAUUCCUCAAAUGGCUCUGGCAUUUUGUGUAGUAUGCUCCGGAGGACAGACCUCUCAUUCUAAUCAUGGACCAACACGAGACAUGUCCCAAAAAAUGCAAUAAUGUACUGCAGGGAAAAAGAAAUCGAAAUUCUCUGCCUACCUGCCCACACCACACAUCCUCCAGCCCCUGGAUAUUGCUGUCUUUAAUCCCCUCAAGACCGCUUUCUCCACCAUGGCUUCCAGGAUGGGUCUAGUGCGAGGGGAUCUAGUGGUCGGGAAGAAACAGUUUUCUUCUCUGCUGAGGAAUGUCUACCCCACUGCUGUCACUGCCCAAAAUAUUAAGGCUGGGUUCCACAAGGCAGGCAUCUUUCCUCUGUCCAGGGGGGCUGUGGACACAACCCAGGUGGUGAGAGUGCUCCCAUCUGCAGUCACUCCCUCAGCCACGCCGUGCUCCAACACCUUGCCCCACUUAAAAUGAUCAGUCCACAAAAUUACCUGGUGGCAGCAGGAGUCAUUCCAGAAAGUCUGGCUAAUGUACACAUGAGCCCAGCCUUGGACAGGAAAGAGAAGGUAAGGCGUCGCCUUCCGCUGCCAGCCCGUGUCAUCACCAGUGAGGAGUACGUUCACCUGCUGGAGCGGAAAGAAGCAGAGGAGAAAGAGAAGGAAGAAAAGAAGAGAGCGCAAGGAAGAUAUGGCAAUGAAGGAGGAAAAAAGACAAGCACAGGAGGCCAAAAGGUAUUUGGUGUUCCUCCAGUUGAGAUCUCCGCUUUGUACCAUAGGCCAUGUGGUAAAUGACAGAAGACAAAGACCUGAACCAAGGUGCCAUUGACGAGACCAUGGUGGGAAUAUGUUAAAUGCCACUACACUGGUACUGCAUGAUAUGGACAACGUUGCCUUAGCUGCUGCUACCCUCCUGAACUUAAGUACUCUUUCAAAGCGCUCCAGAAUGUUGUGAUGGAGCUGGACGGCAACACACUGUCAAAGAAAGCCCAGGGACUCAAAAACAAACUAUAAGUGAGCCGUUGACGUUUUAGGCAACCUGGAUACAACGGUUUCCCUUUCUUCUUGGAACAUGGACCCUUGCUUUUUUUUCAUUGGACUGGACUUUUGACACUUAUGCAACUCACUUACACUGCCUUUAUGUAUGGAUUUGUUUACUGCAAGUGUAGGGUAUUUUUUUUCAGCAGAUUAUUUCUCUCAGGGCCAUGUGUGGCAAAAUAUAUCUGAUUUUAUGUCAGCUUUGUCAGAUGUGUCAGAGCUCCCAACAGUUUCCCCUAUAUUAAAAUGUGGAGGUGAUUUUGUUUUUUUGCACAUUCGUAACUGAAAAUAUAGUAGUGGUGGGAAAGCAAUUACUCCUUAAUUUUAUUACUCUUUAAUUUGAGAACCCUUGCAGUUAACGGAGCACAUUAACUUUCCAAGCACUGGAUUUACAUUUACCAGAGUGUAAUGAUUUCAUUACAUUUGUCUUUUUUGUUGAGAGGUUGUAAAUAUAGUUGAUGUAUUGUGCACUUUUUUGCAUAAUUUUGCAAGACAUUUCUGCAUUAAUCUGGCUGUUGUAUUAUUCCCUAUUGAUGCUGGUUUUAUGUCAUUCAGAAGGUGUUUUAAUGACCAACAGUGUUGCCUCAGGUUGUUGCAGAAUGUUUACAAUGCACUCUUGAUAACUUGGUUACCAAGUGUCUAUGUAUGGAAAAAGAUGCUUUGUUCUAAUGUGAGAAUGGUUUGUAUAUGUAUGCAUUUAUUUGUGUAUACAUUGCAUUGAAUUGAUUGAAGUAUAGUUAGUAACUCUAUUUUACUACAAUACAGUUUCAAAAGAAAUGUUUUUGUGUAUGGCUCAUUUGUUCUGAAAAUGUUGCAGGAGUAAAACUGUAGAUAAGAUUAAAAAGAAAUCGGCGUAUAGAAGUACUUUCAGCAUGCAGACUUUAUACACAAAGUUUGCAUUACAAAUAAC